CGAGGACGAACGCUGGCGGCGCGCCUAACACAUGCAAGUCGAACGGAAGUGUUCAAUCGGAAGUUUUUCGGACGGAAGAGUGGACAGUUUAGUGGCGAACGGGUGAGUAACGCGUGAGUAACCNGCCUUUCAGGAGGGGGACAACAGUUGGAAACGACUGCUAAUACCGCAUAAGCCCACGGUACCACAUGGUACAGUGAAGAAAGGAGAAAUCCGCUGAAAGAUGGACUCGCGUCUGAUUAGAUAGUUGGUGGGGUAACGGCCUACCAAGUCGACGAUCAGUAGCCGGACUGAGAGGUUGAACGGCCACAUUGGGACUGAGAGACGGCCCAGACUCCUACGGGGAGGCAGCAGGUGGGGAAUAUUGCACAUGGGGGGAACCCUGAUGCAGCGACGCCGCGUGAAGGAAGAAGGUAUUCGUAUUGUAAACUUCUGUCGCAGAUGACGAAAAGAUGACGGUAAUCUGCAAGAAAGCACCGGCUAACUACGUG
rnacentral:rRNA from 1 species